CCCAUUAGCUUGUUGGUGAGGUAACGGCUCACCAAGGCUGCGAUGGGUAGCUGGUCUGAGAGGAUGGUCAGCCACACGAGGACUGAGAUACGGCCUCGACUCCUACGGGGGGCAGCAGUCUAGAGGCUUCGGCAAUGGGCGAAAGCCUGACCGAGCGACGCCGCGUGGAGGAUGACGCCCUUCGGGGUGUAAACUCCUUUCGACCGGAAAGAAGGCCCGGACUUGUUCCGGGAUUGACGGUACCGGUGGAAGAAGCCACGGCUAACUCUGUGCCAGCAGCCGCGGUAAGACAGAGGUGGCAAGCGUUAUUCGGAUUUAUUGGGCGUAAAGGGCGCGUAGGCGGCCAGAUGCGUCUGGUGUGAAAGCGCUACCGCUUAACGGAGCAACUGCACUGGAUACGGUCUGGCUAGAGUCCGGGAGAGGUGAGUGGAAUUCCUGGUGUAGCGGUGGAAUGCGUAGAUAUCAGGAAGAACACCGGUGGCGAAGGCGGCUCACUGGCCCGGCACUGACGCUGAGGCGCGAAAGCGUGGGGAGCAAACGGGAUUAGAUACCCCGGUAGUCCACGCUGUAAACGGUGGAUACUAGGUGUGGGAGGUAUCGACCCCUUCCGUGCCGCAGGAAACCCAUUAAGUAUCCCGCCUGGGGAGUACGACCGCAAGGUUGAAACUCAAAGGAAUUGACGGGGGCCCGCACAAGCGGGUGGAGUAUGUGGUUUAAUUCGACGCAACGCGAAGAACCUUACCAGGGCUUGAACCGCAGCUUACAGGGGAUGAAAUCCCCGGCUCUUCGGAGCGUGCUGUAGAGGUGCUGCAUGGCUGUCGUCAGCUCGUGUCGUGAGAUGUUGGGUUAAGUCCCGCAACGAGCGCAACCCCUAUCGUUAGUUGCCAGCGCGUAAUGGCGGGACUC
rnacentral:rRNA from 1 species